CACAAGCAGCGGAGCGUGUGGUUUAAUUCGUUGCUACACGAAGAACCUUACCUGGGUUUGACAUAUAAGUUGUAGGGAACUGAAAAGGGACCGACCCUUCGGGGAGCUUAUACAGGUGUUGCAUGGCUGUCGUCAGCUCGUGUCGUGAGAUGUUCGGUUAAGUCCGCUAACGAGCGCAACCCUCGCCGUAUGUUACAAGUGUCAUACGGGACUGCCGGUAAAAAGCCGGAGGAAGGUGAGGAUGAUGUCAAGUCAGCAUGACCUUUAUAUCCAGGGCUACACACACGCUACAAUGGUCUGUACAAUUGGUUGCCAAGCCGCGAGGCGGAGCCAAUCCGUAAAGCAGGCCUCAGUUCAGAUUGCAGUCUGCAACUCGACUGCAUGAAGCCGGAGUUGCUAGUAACCGCAGGUCAGCAAUACUGCGGUGAAUACGUUCCCGGGUCUU
rnacentral:rRNA from 1 species